rnacentral:rRNA from 1 species
GAUGAACGCUGGCGGCGUGCCUAAUACAUGCAAGUCGAGCGAACGGACGAGAAGCUUGCUUCUCUGUUGUUAGCGGCGGACGGGUGAGUAACACGUGUAUAACCUACCUAUAAGACUGGUAUAUCUUCGGGACACCGGAGCUAAUACCGGAUAAUAUUUUGAACCGCAUUGUUCAAAAGUGAAAGACGGUCUUUCUGUCACUUAUAGAUGGAUCCGCGCUGCAUUAGCUAGUUGGUAAGGUAACGGCUUACCAAGGCAACGAUGCAUAGCCGACCUGAGAGGGUGGUCGGCCACACGGGAACUGAGACACGGUCCAGACUCCUACGGGAGGCAGCAGUAGGGAAUCUUCCGCAAUGGGCGAAAGCCUGACGGAGCAACGCCGCGUGAGUGAUGAAGGUCUUCGGAUCGUAAAACUCUGUUAUUAGGGAAGAACAUAUGUGUAAGUAACUGUGCACAGCUUGACGGUACCUAAUCAGAAAGCCACGGCUAACUACGUG